AUUGAACGCUGGCGGCAGGCCUAACACAUGCAAGUCGAGCGGAGCGGCGGACGGGUGAGUAAUGCCUAGGAAUCUGCCUGGUAGUGGGGGAUAACGACCGGUAACGGGCGCUAUUACCGCACACUAUCAGAUGAGCCUCGGGCGGAUUAGCUAGGUGGUGGGGUAAAGGCCUACCAAGGCGACGAUCCGUAACUGGUCCGAGAGUGUGAUCAGUCACACUGGGACUGGGACACGGCCCAGACUCCGACGGGAGGCAGCAGUGGGGAAUAUUGGACAAUGGGCGAAAGCCUGAUCCAGCCAUGCCGCGUGUGUGAAGAAGGUCUUCGGGUUGUAAAGCACUUUAAGUUGGGAAGCGUUACCUAAAGAAUAAGCACCGGCUAACUUCGUGCCAGCAGCCGCGGUAAUAC
rnacentral:rRNA from 1 species